CUCUGUUGGAGUGAGGUGGUUCGUUUUUUUGUAGUGAUAUGAAUAUUUUUUAUGUAAACUAUUUGGAGAAAACUGAAUUUGAUAAUGGAAAACCAAACCACUAGAACCACUACUUACUGAAUUUUCCUUUUAUUUUCGUUUUGCUUAUUGGAGAAAUACUACAAAUACUUCUCCUUUUUAUUUUGUUUUUGGUUUUUGGAGAAAUACUGCAAAUACUUCUUAACAUUAUUGGAAAAAAAUUCCACAACACUACCUGUACCAUUGAAAUAAGCAAAUAUGCUUAAUUAAUUUACAAUUGAAUAAAAUGAAAAUCAAUUCUCUUUGAUGUUUGGGAUUUAUUUUUUGAUAACGCACGAAUACGAGAAAAUGUAAGCGAAGCAAAGGAUAACGCAACUUUUUUAGUUUAUUGGUAGAAAAGGUGACGAAUAAUGGCACGCAUCAAUAAAUAGCAGGAAGUCUUUUUACAAUUGGAGUUACACGAAGUAUAACUAAGUAAAGGUUGGUAACGCAUGUAUAUGUAUGUACUUUGCUGAUGAAUAUUUACAAUGAAAAUGAUUCCCACAUAUUUCUGUGGAAAUACGGUUGGUAUAGAUAGGUACAUUUUGUAUCAAUAGUAUUACAAAUAUGUACUAGAUGAACGUAAUAAAAACGACCAAAAACGCGGUCAUAAUUACGGUCACGACGACUGUUUACGCGGAACCCUUCAUCUGGCCUUUCGCAAGUGGCCACGGUCUUGUUACUUGCAGAUAUAAUGCAAGUAAUUACAUAUAACUUGUAAUUUGCAUAGUGAUGUUGAUGGGU